AAAAAACUUUUUUGCAAGAUGGUUUGUGUGUGUGUGUGUGCGCGUGCGUGCGUGUGUGUGUGUGUGUGUGUGUCCUCGUAGUGUUCUGCCAUGUUUGAUAAGCCGCAGUAGCACAAGCUAACGCUCAGAGUACAUCACACCAAUCGGCAACACUCAUGUUCAACGGUUUAAAGAACCAUGUAUAUUGGAGUGCAACCUCUUCAACCUCUGGGCCUGAGAAGGUGGCUAAGUGGACUUCACUGUUUAACAACAUUCAAAACAUCCCUGGGCAUGAAGAGCCCCUUUUCCCCAAAGACAAUGAAGGGUGAAGCCACCACAAAGCCUGUUAAAACAGAACCCACAUUCAAUUAUGUGGGUGACUUGAUGAGGAUGGUGUUUGACGACCCCAACCCCAAGGAUCUGUCAUCCCAAUAUGACAGGCUGUGAAAAGGAGGAAGUGGUUGCUCGCCACAUGUCAGGCUUUAGUCAAGGGGCGGUCGGAAGCCA